rnacentral:rRNA from 1 species
GACAGCAGUCGCCGCGGUAAUACGAAGGGUGCAAGCGUUACUCGGAAUUACUGGGCGUAAAGCGUGCGUAGGUGGUGGUUUAAGUCCGUUGUGAAAGCCCUGGGCUCAACCUGGGAAUUGCAGUGGAUACUGGGUCACUAGAGUGUGGUAGAGGAUAGUGGAAUUUCCGGUGUAGCAGUGAAAUGCGUAGAGAUCGGAAGGAACAUCUGUGGCGAAGGCGACUAUCUGGGCCAACACUGACACUGAGGCACGAAAGCGUGGGGAGCAAACAGGAUUAGAUACCCCUGUAGUCCCUGUCUCUUAUAC